UACGAAGGACCCGAGCGUUAUCCGGAUUUAUUGGGUUUAAAGGGUGCGUAGGCGGAUUUACAAGUCAGUGGUGAAAUCCCUCAGCUCAACUGAGGAACUGCCAUUGAAACUGUUUAUCUUGAGUACAUUUGAGGCGGGCGGAAUGUGUCAUGUAGAGGUGGAAUUCUUAGAUAUGACACAGAACACCAAUUGCGAAGGCAGCUCGCUAAACUGUAACUGACGCUGAGGCACGAAAGCGUGGGGAUCAAACAGG
rnacentral:rRNA from 1 species